ACAGACAAGGUGGGGAAGGAAGAAUGACAAGCUGGGAUCCAAAAGCCCAGGGUUCCAGCCCCAACGUGUUAGAUCUGGGAAGGUGCCUAACCUGCUACACGGGCAGCUGCCAUAGCCUUGGGUGUCUCUCUUCUCUUCCUUGUUCUGCUGCCUCAUACUUUAAGGGCUUUUUUCCUUUGCUGGAAACUUCAUGGCUCCUCAUGGCCUCUCAGAUUAAGUCCACUUGCUUUCCCUGGGCAACCAAGCCUCGGGCUUGGUUACAGCUCACCUCUCAAUCUUAUCUCCCAUCCAUACACACAAAUAGUUGGGUUUCUCUCCGGGUCUUUGUUGUCAAAACCUUUCACCCACUGGCUCAUUCAAAUACCAUUCUUUUUUUAACGUUGUCAAGUCCCAGAUCAAAUGCUCCUUCCUUGGAGGCAUCUUCCCUAAUCUUGCUUGUGAUCUUUCUUUCCUAAAUUAUCCCAACCAGCUUUUUAUCUCAUUGUGGCCAGUUUCCUGAGGCAGUGCUUGCAACUUCUCUUUUGUAUCCCAGUAGGAUCUGUGAAUGAAUGAAUAAAUGAGCCACUUUUUGGCUCAGUUUCCUCAGCUGAAAAAUAGGAAAACCUCAUAGAGUUGUUGUGAGGAUUAAAAUAGUUAACUGGCUCUGAGCAAACUUUCCUUGGCUGGUAGCACUGAGUAGCAAGAACAAUAAUUACUGUUCUGUGAUCACUGCAGACUGGAGAAGGUGGAGCUGGUCCUACUGGAGAUGGGAGUGGGAAGGGAAGGUGGGUGAGGGUCUCCUGAGCCCCAGGUGAUACUGUCUUCCUCCUUAUUGCCACGAUCUUUAUUAUCCAUUUCAGGAUAUGCAGACAAAGGUCAGUUAGAGAGCUCUCUAAAAUAUUUCCUUUUCUUGGGAUGGAUCUAACUUUCCUUGAGAUGCUCAGAAUUCCUAGCACAUAGCAGAAUGUUGGUUCAUAAUAAACAUUCAAAAUCUGAAUUAACCAGAUUUUAUUGGGAUGAUAAGAGCUCUAAUUUAUGGAACAUCUACUGUGUACCAGGCAUUGUGACAGGCAUUUUACAUUAUCAUCUCAUCUAAUCCUCCCGGUGACUCUGUAAGUUAGGUAUUACUAUGUUCAUUUUACNNNNNNNNNNNNNNNNNNNNNNNNNNNNNNNNNNAGGAGGGAUGUUGGCCUGGGAUCCAAGACUUCUUUGAAGUCAUGCAGCUAAUAGGGGUAGACGGGGAGUCAAUCCCAGGGCUGUGUGAUUUCAAAGCAAGUUUUCUCCUCUACAUCAGUGUUUUGGAACCCUGGACUGCCAUUAGCAUUAUCUGAUCAACUUAAAGAAAUGCCAGUGCCAAUGACCCUCAGAUCAUUUCUUGGUGCGGGACUUUGGAAUUAAAUUUUUUCCAAAGCUCCCAGGAGUAUAUUCGGCAAUGAGAACCACUCUAUUAUACUAAAAGAAAAAAAUUACUGAACAUAAAUUCUAGAUAUCUUGUCUUAGCCUUGUACAAAAAGGAGGGCGGAGGAGGAAGAGGAGGGCGAAUUCUCUCAUCACAUAUGUGUUUUCAUUUCUCACGCAAAUUAAUUUUUAAAAAUUCCUGGUGACUUUGAUUUCAAAGCAAGGCCCUGAACGCUAUCUUUUCUUUUUUGCAUCCCUUACAGCAUUUAAUCCAGAACCUCUGCCCACCUCCUGCUCAAUAAAUAUUUGUUUAGUGAAUUAAAAAGAUAGUAAAUUUUGAAGGAACCUAACUCAGGCUCUGUUAUAUUUUAUGUUUUAUUGAUCAUUUCUUGUGUUUCAAAGGCCUUGAAUAGAAAGACAACCCUACCUUUGGUUCAGUUUGGAGUUGCAGUCACUUCGGUUGGGCAGCGUGACUCAGAAUUCAUAUAGACCAUGCAGAAGUCAGUGGGCCCUCCCUAAAACCCCCAGGCAUUCACCAGCUGCUGCCACCAGGCACCUGACGCAUGCGCACUCAGCAUCACCUUGGUUUGCAUUUACUUGGAAGUGUUCUUGGUGUUUGUGUGUGUUCUGACUCCUCACUGAGAUUGUGACCAUUUUAGAGGAGUGAGAGACAGAUCUAGAUUUUAUAUUUCCCUUCACAGUGUCUGAAAUGUUGACCUGCACCCAUGGUACAGAAAUGCUGCUGAUUGAUGACGGACGUAUGUUUAUUUAACUUUUCUUUGAUGAAUAGAAAACAGGUAGCGGUGGCUCCUCGGUCAUCUCCAUUAGAGCACCAAGAGACAUGGAGUUGGUGGUGGUGAGGAGCUAAUGCUAACUCGUGCUAAGGGGUAAGGAAAGGCAUCA
ensembl:lncRNA